AGUGAACGCUGGCGGUAGGCCUAACACGUGCAAGUCGAACGGCAGCACAGUAAGAGCUUGCUCUUACGGGUGGCGAGUGGCGGACGGGUGAGGAAUACAUCGGAAUCUACUUUUUCGUGGGGGAUAACGUAGGGAAACUUACGCUAAUACCGCAUACGACCUACGGGUGAAAGCAGGGGAUCUUCGGACCUUGCGCGAUUGAAUGAGCCGAUGUCGGAUUAGCUAGUUGGCGGGGUAAAGGCCCACCAAGGCGACGAUCCGUAGCUGGUCUGAGAGGAUGAUCAGCGGCACUGGAACUGAGACACGGUCCAGACUCCUACGGGAGGCAGCAGAGGGGAAUAUUGGACAAUGGGCGCAAGCCUGAUCCAGCCAUAGCGCGUGGGUGAAGAAGGCCUUCGGGUUGUAAAGCCCUUUUGUUGGGAAAGAAAAGCAGCAGGUUAAUACCCCGCUGUUCUGACGGUACCCAAAGAAUAAGCACCGGCUAACUUCGUG
rnacentral:rRNA from 1 species